rnacentral:rRNA from 1 species
GACGGGGGGGGCAAGUGUUCUUCGGAAUGACUGGGCGUAAAGGGCACGUAGGCGGUGAAUCGGGUUGAAAGUGAAAGUCGCCAAAAAAGUGGCGGAAUGCUCUCGAAACCAAUUCACUUGAGUGAGACAGAGGAGAGUGGAAUUUCGUGUGUAGGGGUGAAAUCCGUAAAUAUACGAAGGAACGCCAAAAGCGAAGGCAGCUCGUCUGGGUCCCUA